rnacentral:rRNA from 1 species
CACGUAGGGUGCGAGCGUUGUCCGGAAUUAUUGGGCGUAAAGAGCUCGUAGGCGGUGUGUCGCGUCGGCCGUGAAAACCUGCAGCUUAACUGUGGGCUUGCGGUCGAUACGGGCAUCACUGGAGUUCGGCAGGGGAGACUGGAAUUCCUGGUGUAGCGGUGAAAUGCGUAGAUAUCUGGAGGAACACCGGUGGCGAAGGCGGCAUCCUGGACCAAUACUGACACUGAGGAGCGAAAGCCAGGGGAGCAAACGGG